rnacentral:rRNA from 1 species
CAGUGGGGAAUUUUGGACAAUGGGGGCAACCCUGAUCCAGCAAUGCCGCGUGUGUGAAGAAGGCCUUCGGGUUGUAAAGCACUUUUGUCCGGAAAGAAAACUUCGGGGCUAAUACCCCUGGAGGAUGACGGUACCGGAAGAAUAAGCACCGGCUAACUACGUGCCAGCAGCCGCGGUAAUACGUAGGGUGCGAGCGUUAAUCGGAAUUACUGGGCGUAAAGCGUGCGCAGGCGGUGCUGUAAGACCGAUGUGAAAUCCCCGGGCUUAACCUGGGAACUGCAUUGGUGACUGCAGCGCUGGAGUAUGGCAGAGGGGGGUGGAAUUCCACGUGUAGCAGUGAAAUGCGUAGAGAUGUGGAGGAACACCGAUGGCGAAGGCAGCCCCCUGGGCCAAUACUGACGCUCAUGCACGAAAGCGUGGGGAGCAAACAGGAUUAGAUACCCUGGUAGUCCACGCCCUAAACGAUGUCAACUGGUUGUCGGGCCUUCAUUGGCUUGGUAACGUAGCUAACGCG